UACGUAGGGUGCGAGCGUUGCCCGGAUUUAUUGGGUGUAAAGGGCGCGCAGGCGGUACGGCACGUCCGUUGUGAAAUCGCCCGGCUCAACUGGGCGGGGUCAGCGGAUACGGCCGCACUUGAGCAAGCUAGGGGGCAAUGGAAUUCCCGGUGUAGUGGUGGAAUGCGUAGAUAUCGGGAGGAACACCAGUGGCGAAGGCGGUUGCCUGGAGCUUUGCUGACGCUGAGGCGCGAAAGCGUGGGGAGCGAACAGG
rnacentral:rRNA from 1 species